rnacentral:rRNA from 1 species
AACGUACGCUGGCGGCACGCCUAACACAUGCAAGUCGAACGAAGUAGCAAUACUUAGUGGCAGACGGGUGAGUAACAUGUAGGUAUCUGCCCUUUGGCCUGGAAUAACACGAGGAAACUUGUGCUAAUACCGGAUAAGUCUUUACGGAGAAAGCUUUAUGCACCAUUGGAUGAGCCUGCACUUGAUUAGUUUGUUGGUGGGGUAAUGGCCUACCAAGACUGUGAUCAAUAGCUGAUUUGAGAGGAUGAUCAGCCACAUUGGGACUGAGACACGGCCCAAACUCCUACGGGAGGCAGCAGUGGGGAAUCUUGCACAAUGGAGGAAACUCUGAUGCAGCGAUGCCGCGUGAGUGAAGAAGGCCCUUGGGUUGUAAAGCUCUUUCGUCGGGGAAGAAAAUGACUGUACCCGAAUAAGAAGGUCCGGCUAACUUCGUGCCAGCAGCCGCGGCAAUACGAAGGGACCUAGCGUAGUUCGGAAUUACUGGGCUUAAAGAGUUCGUAGGUGGUUGAAAAAGUUAGUGGUGAAAUCCCAGAGCUUAACUCUGGAACUGCCAUUAAAACUUUUCAGCUAGAGUAUGAUAGAGGAAAGCAGAAUUUCUAGUGUAGAGGUGAAAUUCGUAGAUAUUAGAAAGAAUACCAAUUGCGAAGGCAGCUUUCUGGAUCAUUACUGACACUGAGGAACGAAAGCAUGGGUAGCGAAGAGGAUUAGAUACCCUCGUAGUCCAUGCCGUAAACGAUGUGUGUUAGACGUUGGAAAUUUAUUUUCAGUGUCGCAGGGAAACCGAUAAACACACCGCCUGGGGAGUACGACCGCAAGGUUAAAACUCAAAUGAAUUGACGGGGACCCGCACAAGUAGUGGAGCAUGUGGUUUAAUUCGAAGAUACGCGCAGAACCUUACCAACACUUGACAUGUUCGUCGCGACUCUAAGAGAUUAGAGUUUUCGGUUCGGCCGGACGAAACACAGGUGCUGCAUGGCUGUCGUCAGCUCGUGUCGUGAGAUGUUGGGUUAAGUCCCGCAACGAGCGCAACCCUCACUUUUAGUUGCCAUCAUUAAGUUGGGCACUCUGAAAGAACUGCCAGUGAUAAGCUGGAGGAAGGUGGGGAUGACGUCAAGUCCUCAUGGCCCUUACGUGUUGGGCUACACACGUGCUACAAUGGUAUCUACAACAGGAAGCAAGACUGCGAAGUUAAGCAAAUCCCUAAAAGAUACCUCAGUUCGGAUUGCACUCUGCAACUCGAGUGCAUGAAGCUGGAAUUACUAGUAAUCGUGGAUCAGCGUGCCACGGUGAAAUGCGUUCCCGGGUCU